CCUCGGCGCUACUUCUCCCCGGUUAGGUCCGCCCAGCUUUAUGUCUCUCCAGCCGUGACGUUCUGACCCUGUCGAAGUUGCCUGUAGUCCCGUCCGUUAUACCGGCCUGUUUCCUAAAUAAACAUCUUAAAACUGUG